CAGUUGGUAUCAGAGCUGUAGGUUAUAAGUUAUUGAAAUCAGAAUAUAGAUUGUAAUAGAAAUGUGUUUAAUGGAACCUCAUAUAGAGGCAAGUUGAGACUAUUGGAUAUAGUAUUUGUCUAUGGAACUGAGAUGGAGUUAGAAUAUUGAUUCUGAGUAAUCAUUUGGUAUAUCAUAGUUCCUAACUCUAGAACUAAUGAGUUGGAUAUCGGGAGAGACAUGAUAGCAUACCUUUAGUUUCCAAUCUUCUAGAGCUUGAGGCUGACUUUCUGAGUAAUCAGUGCCCGCUAGACUUGUGGAUUGACAUGUCUAACCUAGAAUGUUCCUUAUCAUCUCUACCAUUCCUAGAGGGUUGGAUAGAGGGUUAUCUAUUGUUUCUUAUAGAGACAUAUGGAUUUGGUAGAUGAGUAUGAGAUUGGUGAUGAGAAGUCAGGAGUGUAGUUCUCAAAUUGAGAAUUUAUGUAGAAUCCAUGUUAGAUUAUUUGAUAUAGUACCUAUUAGUAGGUUUGAGCGUCAACGCUCUACAAGGCUGAUUGUAUAAAGCUGGACAUGACUUCUGACAACACCAAGCUCGAUAGGACCUACUAACAUGGAUAUCGGUGACGGAAUCUAUAGAGACUAUUAUAAGUCAACGAUAAUAUAUGCAAGCGAUCACCAAGAGUGCUGAAAAGAAUUCUUGGAAUCAAGAUAAGCCAUCAGAGGAAUCAAGUAAGAAGACACUUGUGAGAAUCUUGGCAAUACCUUCUUCAAUUGACUGAUUAAAUUGAUUAUUUCUCUAUCAGUGAUUGUUUUAACAUCUCUUUCAGCGAGACGUUCAUUAAAGAGAAUAUUUCUCUUUAAGAGUAUAUUUUUCACUCUUGAAAUUAUAGAAUGAUGCCAGUGCUUGUGGUAUCAUUUCUGAUCACUUUUCUUUCGAAUUCAGCACAUUUGGAAUCUAUUCCCUAUUUGAACCCCAGGUGCGCAUGAAACUUUUCUCCAAUUAAAGGCAACCAUUGUUAAGUUAAUUAUGAACCCUUUUAUAUUUUUCUACUCUAACUGAGAUGAACAACUCUAAUUAUAGGGGACACAAUGACUCCCUGUCCUCAUUUAGAUACGCAACAUUCUAUCAGGAGGAAACGGUACUAAAGAAUAAAGAAAUAUUACGUUUUAGUCUUCUCUCNCUCUUGCUAUUAUUUCUAACCCUUGCAGCUAAGGAUUAAGGUGGUCACCUGGGUAAGCUGCGCGUAAGAGUAAUGCUAGGCGAGACUGCUAGGGAGGUGGCUGCGAGACUAGUAUGGUUAGAGUUGAAUUAUUUCAAUUCAGUUGUAGAUGGUUUUUAUUUAUUGGUUAUCAGUUAUCCUUCUUACCGAAGUUUAGCUGAUAACGUAGUUUAAGUUGUAAAAAGAUUUUAUAGUUUGGGUUCUGGUUUCAAUGCUGUAACCUAUUUGCGAUCCUGUUGUUAGGGGGUCAAAGUGAUUUUGAUUUAAAUCUCUUUUAAAAAUCCAGAUUUUGAAAUAUAUGUUUUACCUUCUUCCGGAAAUACAGGUUUAAAUUGAUUUUUGUCCACGUGGCACCAGAUCCAGACCCCUGGAUCUGAGGGAUGUCACAGUUGGUAUCAGAGCUGUAGGUUAUAAGUUAUUGAAAUCAGAAUAUAGAUUGUAAUAGAAAUGUGUUUAAUGGAACCUCAUAUAGAGGCAAGUUGAGACUAUUGGAUAUAGUAUUUGUCUAUGGAACUGAGAUGGAGUUAGAAUAUUGAUUCUGAGUAAUCAUUUGGUAUAUCAUAGUUCCUAACUCUAGAACUAAUGAGUUGGAUAUCGGGAGAGACAUGAUAGCAUACCUUUAGCUUCCAAUCUUCUAGAGCUUGAGGAUGACUUUCUGAGUAAUCAGUGUCCGCUAGACUUGUGGAUUGACAUGUCUAACCUAGAAUGUUCCUUAUCAUCUCUACCAUUCCUAGAGGGUUGGAUAGAGGG
rnacentral:lncRNA from 1 species